CAUGGAGGGGAAUCUACGAGAGUCAGCUUUGAGCUGACAAUUCUCAGUUAGAGGAAAGCUGCGGGGGAAGAGGGGCAAAGGGUCAGAGCAAUCACUACUGAGUGGGAGCCCCAUUCUGUCCAGAAGAGUUGAGGCUGUAAGACUCAAGAGGAAAACUAAAGUAGGGGCUUCUGGGAUUGCCAGUAUGGUGGAAAGUCUACCCUCUCCUGUCUCCAUCUUUCCAAUGACCAUACAAACCACAUCUGGAUGUUGCUCCAUCUGCAGCUCCUUGACUGCAGAAGGACUGUAGAAGGACUGGAAUAUGGGUGUCAUUUGAAGCCCUAACAGGCUCAUGUCAAAGACCUGUGUGGAAGAUUCCAGAGAUCUUGUCCUCAAGAGAGCUUCGAGAAGGUAAUGGAGUCCCCAGCCAUGAAUGUGACCUGCAGCAUGGCUGUGGAAGGCAUCAACAGCAUCACGUUUGGGUCUCCAACAUCCAACCUGGGAAUCCCUCUCUGACCUGCACCCUAUGUAGGAAGCCCUUAGCAUAGACAUACAGCCUGAACGUGUCUUGCUCUAUUAGAAUAGGAUCAACAAGAUCUGAAUGGCCACUGGGGUUCCCAAAGAGAGGAGCUGGUGCAGUUGCCAUGUGGACUGCAGUGAAGGAAGCGGAGAAGGCCCUGGUAUUCUGGUACCGGCGCUUCAGAGCUUGGGCUCUGUGCCUGGUCAUCAGGGUGCCUGCUUUUAAGAUUCUUCUGUGCGGCCUUUAGUACAAGAGAAAGAAGACAGUAUCAGCUGCAGAAAGGAUUUUACAAAGUUCACUGCAAACAGAAAACUCGGUAGUCAGAGGAAGUAAUCAGUGACCAUUAUUCCAGGCCUCUGGUUUGAGGGGACAAAGGAUGAUCAAGAAUUUACAAGUUGCUGCUGCUGCUGCUGCUGCUGUUAUCUGAGCUUCUCAAACACCAGAAGACAUUGAUGAAACAGCUAUAUCCAGCCUACUACACACUUAGAGCCACAAAGAUGGGAUUCCCUUCACUCUCAAGCUCUCAUGCACAGUUGUACAGAGAGGUUCCUUCUUUAAAAUUUCAACUCUCAUCCCAAGGCCUUGUUAAAUAUUCUUGAAGGUGUUAAGAAUAAAAUUUAACAAAUUUUUUU